rnacentral:rRNA from 1 species
UACGUAGGGUGCAAGCGUUGUCCGGAAUUAUUGGGCGUAAAGAGCUCGUAGGCGGUUUGUCGCGUCUGCUGUGAAAACGCGAGGCUCAACCUCGCGCCUGCAGUGGGUACGGGCAGACUGGAGUGCGGUAGGGGAGAUUGGAAUUCCUGGUGUAGCGGUGGAAUGCGCAGAUAUCAGGAGGAACACCGAUGGCGAAGGCGGUUCUCUGGGCAUGUCCUGACGCUGAGGAGCGAAAGUGUGGGGAGCGAACAGG